rnacentral:lncRNA from 1 species
CGAUGCGCGGCCGAUAAUGUAGCGUCAGCCAUGCACUGUACCGCAUUUUGGUUAAGCGUGAUCACGCUCGCGAUCCUCUUGUUUUGGGCUGUGGAGCGUGGAAACACCACUUCGGACCCGGAUCCCCGGAAUAUAAUUUACAUCAUCACCCACGGGAAAAGGAAACACAAAGGGAAGAUCAUUGAGAUACACAGGCAUCGUCCAAAGCACAAGCUGAACAUCAUACUCGUCAAUUCGUGAAUAGAUCUCGAACGAAAUUUGUUUAAAGUGACGGAGAACCAGGAAACGUUUCUUUCUCGAGAAAAAGAUCAGAGGAAAUAACAAUGGGCAAUUGUAAAAUGUGUAUUGAGACUAUAUGAUAUGUAAAAAUUUGAUGCUUCGUCGUUAAAAUGUAUGCAUGCAAAUGUUUAAUGUUAAAAAUGAAUAUUCGUAUACGUUUACAUGUAAUCCUUAUUUCAUUAUGAAGAUUAAUGAAUAUGUUUUGUUUCACGCGAUAUUCGCGCGUUUAAACGCGCAAGUUUGCACGUUUCGUAUAACUUACGGGUCAGUCUCUUUGUCGAGCGACAUCAUGCUCAACGACACUCGUAAGUUAGUCGUUUAUUAUGGAAUUAUAUGCAAUUCUAACGGUAUGUAGGCGAUCGUCCCACCAUGGCAGGAACUUAACUAUCGUGCAGAGUGAUAAAUAUUACAGUUAUUACGCGUAUGUAUAUGCAACAGUUGUUAAACAAGGGAACGAGAACUAGAAGAGGAGGAUAUUGAAUAUUCUCGAAAUCUUAAUAUUUUUCAAACGAUAAGAUACUUAAAUCGCAAUCGACCCGAGGUUAAUCAAUUGAUCAUCAAUUCCUCUUGGCAAAUUUCCAAUCUUUGAUCCUGUAUCCGCCAUUCUACACUUUUUCACGAUUUCACUUUCGUUCACGAGGGAUAUGGUUUCUGCUUGAAGAGCUAGUCACGAGGGAAAGAUAGAAAGAGAUAGAAAGUUUCGUUUUGAACUGAAUAUCUAAGAGAUCCCAAAGAGCUUCAACGACAUUGUCCAUGAUCAAUAUACAAUAUGCAAUAUAAUGGAACAUAUAGUGAGACAGAAGAGCAUAACCAUGAGCAAAUAGAAAAUGUUAGGGCCUAAAAUCUGAAGAUUCCAUUUCGCUAAUUUCCCUAACUUUACCCUUGAAGAAGUGCUGAACAUUGGAUUAAAGUUUGAAGCCUCCACUCAGCUAAUUUUGCAAUUCCUAACUUUCCCCUAGAUAGAUCUAAAGUCUGUGCUAAUUUUCCAUUAUUCUCAUCUCGUCCAGAAAAUGUAUAGCGGAUAACCCAAUAGAAUCUCAAACUCUGAAAUUUUCAAUCUUACCGCUAGCUUCGAAUCACUUAUCCUAUAAUAUUAUCUAACCGCUUGAAGUUAUACUCGCAAAAUGGUAGAAGCAACAGAGAGCAAAGGAACACCGGAAGCGUUCGGUCAAGGUAAGACGUUGCCUCUGCUCGCGGCGUAUAUGCACAUUCGUUCUCAACCGCGCUUUCCUCUCGAUGAAACGUUUUCCCUGCCUGGCAAAGGCAUCGGUUCUCCCAUUAAUUGCAUUCUGCUCCUCGUUCCACGUUUCCUCGCUUUCGUUUCCCUUCUCGAGUUAGUUUGAUAGCAUUGAACACCAUGUCGAGAAAUGACUUUAGAAUAAGAUUCACCAAAAAUUUUUUUACUCGAAACUCGGCUUCGAAUCUGGCUAAUAAAUUGAUUGCACAAAGGUGACUAAUUUAUGUGUGACUUUAGCAAGAACAAUGUUGAUAUUUAGAGAGCGAAUUUCGUGAGAAAUGUUUCAUUCGCACGAAUUAUUUAAGCGAAGUACAGUGUAAGAGUGAAAAUAAGAGGGUGAGGAAAGGAACUUGAUUUAAACUUGUUAUUAAGAUUGAUAUACCCCUUGGUGAGGAUAAUCACUGGUGUUAAACUAGAUUGUCACUGAACUUCAAUCGAGAUCAAAUGUUUUGACCUUUA